rnacentral:rRNA from 1 species
CAGUCGCCACGGGAAUACGGAGGGAGCUAGCGUUGUUCGGAAUUACUGGGCGUAAAGCGCACGUAGGCGGUUAUUCAAGUCAGAGGUGAAAGCCCGGGGCUCAACCCCGGAACUGCCUUUGAAACUAGAUGACUGGAAUCUUGGAGAGGUCAGUGGAAUUCCGAGUGUAGAGGUGAAAUUCGUAGAUAUUCGGAAGAACACCAGUGGCGAAGGCGACUGACUGGACAAGUAUUGACGCUGGGGUGCGAAAGCGUGGGGAGCAAACAGGAUUAGAUACCCCAGUAGUCCCUGUCUCUUAUAC